rnacentral:lncRNA from 1 species
UCGUUAGCCCGCAUACCUAACUCAAUAGGCAAUUCAACAUCUCUGUCUUGCCUUGACCUAACGGAAUGCCAUAAACUUGCUCAACUUCCAGACUCUAUAGGCUUCCUCGUGUAUCUACCACGGUUGUUAUUGUCGGGAUGCCACUCAUUGAGACAAAUCCCAGACUUGAUCGGAAAGUUGACAUCAUUGAUAGAGCUGCAUUUGAAAUCUACGGCCAUUGAAGAAUUACCUGAAUCCAUCGGUUCUUUGAAGGAGCUCAAGAUUCUAGAUGCCUCUUAUUGCAAAUCGUUAGCCCACAUACCCAACUCAAUAGGCAAUUUAACAUCUCUGUCUCACCUUGACCUAAAUGAAUGCCAAAAACUUGCUCAACUUCCAGACUCCAUAGGCUCCCUUGUGUGCUUGCCGCGGUUGUUAUUGUCGGGAUGCCACUUGUUGAAACAAAUUCCAGACUCGAUCGGAAAGUUGACAUCAUUGACUGAGCUACAUUUGAAAUGUACGGCCAUUGAAGAAUUACCUGAAUCUAUUGGUUCUUUGAAGGAGCUCAAGACUCUAGAUGCCUCUUAUUGCAAAUCGUUAGCCCAUAUACCCAACUCAAUAGGCAAUUUAACAUCUUUGUCUUCCCUUGACCUGAAUGAAUGCCAAAAACUUGCUCAACUUCCAGACUCCAUAGGCUCCCUCGUGUCCUUGUUGCGGUUGUUAUUAUCGGGAUGCCAUUCGUUGAAACAAAUUCCAGACUCGAUCGGAAAGUUGACAUUAUUGAUUGAGUUACAUUUGAAAUCUACGCCAUUGAAGAAUUACCUAAAAGCAUUAANNNNNNNNNNNNNNNNNNNNNNNNNNNNNNNNNNNNNNNNNNNNNNNNNNNNNNNNNNNNNNNNNNNNNNNNNNNNNNNNNNNNNNNNNNNNNNNNNNNNNNNNNNNNNNNNNNNNNNNNNNNNNNNNNNNNNNNNNNNNNNNNNNNNNNNNNNNNNNNNNNNNNNNNNNNNNNNNNNNNNNNNNNNNNNNNNNNNNNNNNNNNNNNNNNNNNNNNNNNNNNNNNNNNNNNNCAAUCCUGCAUUCCUGAAUUUUUCUCACUAAACUUUCUCAAGAGACUCACUCUUUCUAACUGGCUUAAAUGUCUCUCAAACCUUUCUAUAACAUGUUAUAGAAAAGCUAUGAAACUUGAUUUUGUAUCUUACAAAAGUUCGAGCUGUUAGUUGGGCAUUUUAUUUACCUUUUGUCUUGUGAUACAGUUCUCUUAAAGCGUUUCAAGACUCCUCCUGCCAACAACUUAGCCAUGGACUACCAAACAACAGAUGAACAUCCUUUGAAGAGAUCAAAACCUUUUGGAAUCUCAAAUGAAGUACUUAUUUCAUUUUGCUUUUUCUUUGCCGUUCUUCAGUUAUUAAAGGAUGGUUCCAUCUACAAAGAGAAGUAUUUUACUGAAUGAUCAAUUAUUUGUUAUGUGUGGAAUGCUUUGAUCAACAUUCGUAACUAGAUCCAUCAAACUUGUUACAUUCUCGCUAUUUUAAGUCUUUUGUUCUGGAAGUAGGGAUUUUAGUUUUCUUGAAUUAUGAAGUUAAGGUGGAAUAUAUUGCCCGUUCUCUUGUGUUUCUCUCUCUUAAUUAUCUUUAUUUGCACGCCAUUGAUCGAAAACUUUUUGAAAGCGCACUCAUUUGGGUGCUAUUGCGGCAUAUGAUCAUGCAUUGAGAAUCUUCACGAGUGUAGGGGUUAUCUCACAUCAGUUGUGGAAGGAAAAAGUAGUUAGUUUAUAAUUGUGAUGGAAAGUCUCAUCCUUUAAGUUAGCUUUUAAGAUGAGAUAAGCCCAAGACCACCCAACAAAAAAAAACUUUUAGUUUUGAGGUUUCUAGAUACCCUUAAUCUUCAUGAUGUUAACCUAAUGAAAUUAUUGAAGAUUGGAAGGAUAACAAGAAAGUUUGAUGGAGAGAGAAAGGAGCAAAAGGGCUAGGGUUGUCAAUUUGUGUCCUCUUGUCAUAAUUGUGUUUGUGAUUGUGUCAAUUCAUCAUGACUUCUAUUAGACAUGUCAACCCAUUGAAUUAGAUGAAAACAUGUAAAUAUCUCAUCAAGUUAAAUGUAUCGUGAUGUGUCAUAUUGGGUUGUGUUUGUGUUUUUCGUGUUUGGUAUUGUUAUGUAAACAGUAUGUGUCACUAUUGGCAGCAUUAAUGAGAAGCGUGGACUGGAUAGGUGUUGAUUAUGUCUCCUCCCAUCAUGCAUGCAUUGUGCUCACGUAUGCUAGUACAAGAGGGGCUCUCAUAUGAGUCUUUUGCAUCUUUUGAGUGCCAUGGUUUUGAUCAAUUUUCUAAAGGACUCAUUAGUUUUGUAAUCUUCAUGACUUUCUAAUAGGUGAAUAAUUUGCCGGGAAAGAUUUUUCCCAUUACAUACAACUACCAGAGCUUUGGUCAGAGUUCUUAUUCUUCAGAUGACUUGCCUAGAAAUGUAGUCGUUACCCUAAGUCAUGAUUCACUUGUUAAAAGUAUGGAUUUCCAUCCAGUGCAACAAAUUCUACUGCUCGGUUAGCACUUCUUUCUUACUCUAUGAAGAACUUGUUUCUUGAUCUUCUUUAGUUGGAUAUACUUGUUGGCCAUAAGUUUGUGUUUUGGUGCUUGGAAGAUUCCUGUUUGUUGUUUUUUAUGCUCGCUUCAGCUAUUUGAAACCAAGGGAUAUGAUUCUUCAAAUUUUCUGCAUCAAUAAUUUUUAGUGGGAACAAAUACGGGUGAUGUCAUGGUAUGGGAAGUAAGCAACCGUGCAAGGAUUGCUUUGAGAAAAUUCAAGGUUUGGAAUUUGGGAACACGUUCAAUGGCGUUGCAGGUAUAUAAGUUCCACUCUAAAUAAAGUCAUGUAUCUUGUUUUUGGACAUGUAAUUGGGGGUUUUGAUUCUUUGUAGGCUUCUCUAGCCAAUGACUAUACAGCAUCCAUUAAUCGUGUAACGUGGAGUCCUAAUGGACUUUAUUUUGGUAUGUACAGAUGUCACUUCUACUUGUCUUAUUGCAAAUUGAUGAAACAACUAACGCGCUGAGAAUGAGACUUCAUUGCAAUAUUUUCAGGAAAAAUGUUCAUAUGCUGCUAUUACUGAUGAUUUGUGGUGUUCACUUUAGGUGUUGCUUAUUCCAAACACAUGGUGCACAUAUACUCGUAUUACGGUGGUGAUGACAUGAGGAACCACCUUGAGGUUUGUUGCUAAACAAGGAGUGAAAAAAUUCGGCUUCUUUUUGUAGACAAUUGCCACAUAAAAGUGAGUAAAACUUGAUUUUGACUCUAAACUAAUGUUUGAUACAGCUCGAGGCUCAUGCUGGAAGUGUUAAUGAUCUUGCCUUUUCAUAUCCAAACAAAUGGUUAUGCGUUGUGACCUGUGGAGAGGACAGGUCAAUCAAGGUAUAUCUUGAUUAUUUUCCUCAGUGUUGCAGCGUUCCAUCGUUUGAUCCCUUAACUAAGCUAGUAGUUUUGUAGGUAUGGGAUGUAAUGACUGGGGCUAAGCAAUACUGUUUCAAGGGUCAUGAAGCACCUGUAUAUUCUAUUUGUCCACACCAUAAAGAAAAUAUCCAGGUACUUGAUUAUUUCACGUACUAACAAAGACACCCUGCGAGCAUGGCCAAUCAGAUGUACCCUUGACUAUACACUAGACUUUUGUUUUCUAAAACUCAGUUAGGUAAAAAAAAAAUUGGUUCAAUUUGUAUGAGGAGUAUGAACCUAUGUUUUGAAGGACCUUGUUCAUUUCAAGGGUUUUGCAAGUCUUCCGACUUUUAACCUGUCUUGAUUAGAAUGUGCUUGUCAAACAUGGUGAAAUUGGUCCAAAGAUCAACCUACUAAUUUGAUUCUUUCAAGUAAUGCUACUAAGCAUCGACAACUAGGUAAAGGUCUUUGCAAUAAUGACUUCCUGCUUAAUUAUAUAUUCAAAAAGAAAAUUCCUCUACUACCAUUGAUUGUUCUCCCUUAGUUUUCUCUUUUAGUCACGAUUGGUUAAAUUUAUAAUAGAAGGCUGUUUAUUGUGUUUGAGUGGAGCAGCAAUUGGCAAUGUUAUCUUCUUCUUCUUCUUCUUUUUAAACAUUUAUGGUUGUGCAUAGUGUACACUUUAUUACAAAGAUGUCUUAUGAAAUCUCAUCAUUCUAGGAUGCUAUGUUUAAAUAAUUAUAGUUUAAGUGGAUGUGCUCUAUUUGGGCAUGUUACUGAAAUUGGUUAUACAAUUGUUUUAUCGUGUAGUUCAUCUUCUCAAUAGCAACAGAUGGGAAAAUUAAGGCUUGGCUUUAUGACAACAUAGGGUCAAGAAUUGACAACGAUGCACCGGGUCACUCUUCUACCGUGAUGGCAUACAACGCCGAUGGAAAAAGGUUUAGACCAUCAGCAUUGUAUAUCAAGCUUGAUUUCAUCCCGAGUCUUUCUUUUUCACUGAAAUAACCUAUUUUAGCGAUUUUAAUUUGCUAUAGGUUGUUCUCGUGUGGGACCAAUAAAGAAGGAGAGUCAUACUUGGUUGAAUGGAAUGAAAGUGAGGGGGGUAUCAAGCGUACAUAUCAUGGACUUGGAAAGAGUUCUAGUGGGGUUGUGCAGUUUGAUACCAUCAAAAAUAGAUUUUUGGCUACUGGUGACGAGUUCAUUAACAAAUUUUGGGAUAUGAACAAUGAUAGCCUACUUACAAGUACCGAUGCUGAUGGUGGAUUGCUGGUAAUUCACUGUUGUUAAUUUAUUUUGACUGAAUUAACUGAAACUUUCUAUUAAUUACCUCACUCUUUAAAUUUGCAGGCUUCACCUUGUAUUAGAUUUAACAAGGAAGGAAUCCUGUUAGCCGUCUCAACAAGUGAUAAUAGCAUCAAAAUUCUAGCAAAUUCAUUUGGGAUUGAGCUGCUAAGGACUGCAGAAAAACAUAUGCUUCUAGAGUCACUGCUAGGAGUCUUUUGAAGGUAAGCUUUUUUAACAAUACACUAACUUUAUGUAAAGAAGUCACUACUAGUCCAUUGUGGUCGGCUAAAACCCAAGGACUUGAUUACACUAGUUAUUUAAUUAAUGCUCUUUCAGUACCUAGACUUGAUUUAACUAAGUGUCCAUGCAGUCUUGGACCCUUUUAUUGACCUAUGCCACUUAAUUGGUGUCCAUGCAUGAGUGCACAAUAAAGGAAAAGUAAACAAUCAUUAUUAAUUCAACAAAAGUAAAGUAUAAGAAAAUACACCUAAUGAAGUGCCAAGCGAAGAAUACACAUGGCUUUGUUUUUAAGCCUCAAGACAACAACCUUGUAAGCUAAAUUCAAAUUAAGUCCAAUUCCUUUUCUCAAACACUAUUCUAUGUAACCUCACCUAAAUCAAAGGCACUCAUUAAAAUCUCUAAACCAUAUGUAGAGUAACUAAAACUAGAAGAAACUAAGCUACAUCUAGCACUAAAACUUAACGACCUAAUCAAGGUCUUUGUUAUUAACCAUUUUCCAAUUUUUCAUAUUUUCGAUUUUUUUUGAAAAUUUAAUUUUAAUUAUUUUCUGAAAAUAGGAAAUCGGGCCGGGCCCUUGGGCCUGGUCCGGAUAUGAGCCUCAUACUGGUCUCACGAAUCUGGGCUAAUGGACAAAAUUCGGGCUAUUAUAUCCAGAUCCAUCCAAUUCUAACUCUACUGAGCCCAAUUCAGAUUAUACCUAUUUUAAGCCCAUUUACCCAUGGAAGCUACUCUAGCUCACUUUCUCAUCUAACUGCACCAAGUCCAUCUUUAAGCCCAAUUUCUAUUACAAAUAGAUUAAACCCUAAGCCCACGCCAACCCUAUCUUACUAUUAUUAUUUUUAAUCCAUUUUUUCCUCUUUUCUUACAUCUUUCGUCAUUUUUUAUUAUUAUAAAAGUAAUCAAUGUUAGGUGUGCGAAGAGCCCCCCCUUUUUUUUAAGAGACUACCUGGUAAACUUUCCUGCAGUAACUUAAGCUAUAAAGGAUGGGUGAUGUAGCUUUUGUAAGGUCUUUGACAAAUAUUUCACAACUUUUUAGGAAAUUGCUUCGCCCGAUUUUGGGAUGUUGGAGCUGCUGUCGACGGCAUUGGGAAACAAUUUGGUAAAAGAAGUUGAAUUAACCUUCCAGCAAAGAAUUAUAAAGUGGAGAUGGUCAAUGGCAUUGGGAAACAAUUUGGUAAAAGAAGUAUUUCUAAGAGGUAUAAUAAGUCAGAACUCAACAAAAACGUCAGUGGAAGUGUUCAAUCAUGAAGAAGAAGAAGAAGCAAAACACCAUUCACUAAGGGAUAACUCGUGCACGCAGAAGGGAGGAAGCAGGGGAAAAUGGCUCCAUCUUCCAUCGUCUCCAGUCACCAUUGGAUAACCUUUCGUCGCGGUGUCUCAAGUUCCGAUAUAGCCGCUAGCUACCAUCGCCGUUCAUUACGAGUUCCAACUCCUUCGUUGGUUGCGCCGUCGACCAUCAGUCUCAGGAGGAUCACGUUUGUUCAUUUCAUCGCGAGCACCAUUCCAGAACCAAAACAAACAAAAACAUCGAGCAAGGAAAAUUCAUCUAAAAAAAGCGAUUCCGUUCGAUUCAGUUGGCGAUUUCAAGCGUUCUGAAUCGAUCACAGUGGCCGUCGCCGGCAUCAACAGCCUCUUCAAUGCCGCGACUCAUCUCCUUCGUUUCCCUUCAACGGCCGAGAGCUUCGAAAUGUUGUCGUUCCGCUCGAAGCUUCUCCACCUGUUCAGGUUUCGAUCAUCGACACGUUCUAGAGCUUCUUUCAGCGAUUCGUGCGCCAAACCGCGGCCUCAGUCCACUUGAUUAAGCAGGUAGCAUCUCCUGUUCUGUUGUCACGAGUAAGAGGCCGAGAGUCUGAUUCUCUUAUUAUGAUGAAAUUGAUCAUAUUUGAAUUUUUUUCUUUGACUUCGAACAUCAUGUACUGAUUUAGGUUGAGUCUAGUUGUAAAUUCGAGUUCGAAAUGGCUUUGAUAUGUUCCACAACCGAUUGACCAUAAUCUGUUCGAUGAAAUGUGUCUGAGACCCUGUUGUGAAUUGAUUCCAGUAAUCGUCCGAUCUGAAAAAGCGCAUUAGUGAUGUUCACUUGAUAUUGUUUGAUUUUUCAAUCUUUAGACAUGAUUACGAGUAUAUGCCAUAGUUGCCAAGAAUAAAACUGACUCUCCGCAUGUUUUCUCAGUGCUUCUUGUGAUCCUUUGGUGAUAGGUGGUGGUUGCCGGCAAGGGGAGAUGGAAUGGAGUCGCUGGCACAUGCAUUAGUCUUUGGUGAUGAUCGUAGCAUGCCCUGUUGAACAGAAUCGAGACGAUGUCGCUGAGCGUUAAUCGCCAAUUCAGAUAAUGAACUGCGGCCGACACAUGUUGCGGUCACUAACGGGAGCAAUGUUAUGCCUAGUCACUAUCCGCGUCCUUGCCACUGAGUCACCGUGCAAUCUCCUCGACUGCCAAGCUUUGCUUCAGUCCAUGCCUUGCAGACCAUCCUUGCCAUUGCAAUUGCUGUGCCACACCUUACCAUAAUGGCUAUUCAAGUGAACUCCGCAUGCGAUAGCACUGCCAUCAGAAUAAACCGCCAUACAUUACCAUUAUGGAUUGAUGUGGCAAUAGAGCUAUAUCCAUCACGUGUCUUUACAAUCGGUUGUUUCCGUUCCAACUGAGUUUUAGAGUCCAUUGUAUGUUCAGAUUUCCUUCGCUGCUUUGUUUUAAUGUUCAGGAUUUUGCGAGUCUUCUUAAACCGAAUCAUGGGAAAACUAAAUGGUUCGAAGUCCAGUCGUCAUGGGGUCGAUACUUUGUUGUAAAAUCAUUGUGCAUUACCUGCUUCCUGAUUCUUGUCUUGUCCUUUGGUUAUUGGUUACUUCACCUUCGUUGAUUUCAUUGUCCGGAAGUAGGUAAUCAAUCCAAGAGCACCUGCUAAAAUUGCAUUUUAGUUGUGUCAUCUGCUUCCUGCCUCAUUCUCUGUGAAUGACAUUCUACUUCUUGCGUGCUGUUGAGGGAAAUCAAUGGUUGACAAUCGAUAUGAAGUGAGCAAGUUAUACUUGUUUCCUGUCUUUAGUUGAUAACUUUUUGCGUAUGACAAUCGAUUAAUUAAACCAGUCCAUAGCUUGCACGAAAAUAGUAAAUGAGGAUUUACUUCUUUCUUGGAAUUAUCAAUGUCAUCGCUUUGUCUCUGGUAGUGGAAGAGUUUAUCAUUCUUUUUGAACUUUUUGAACUUGUAUAAGAAUCAAUGGAAUUCUCAUGGAGCAUUGAGUACCCAAAAUUUACAAGUUAUAUGAAGUGGUGGUGUCCUUUUGUUGCAUAUGCUGGAGUUUAGCGGUUAGUGUUCAUCUAUGUUUGUUGAACCGUUUGAUUUAUCACUUCAAUCGACAAAAUCUCAUAAACAGACAUGACAAUUGCGAGAGACGUCUUUGAACUGGCACUUUGGUGAUGAUGGUGCUCCUUCGUGUCGACUGUAUUUACUUGUUUGAGGAAGAAUCAUUUAUGAUAUUUUAUGAUAUUGGAGAAGUGAAUAUGUAUGGAAGGUUCCUUGGAUUCACAAGAAUAAAACCACUCGUGAUCCUGGAUCCACUCAUUGAAGAAAUGGAGAGAGAGAAUUUCCACAUGGACGAUGUGAAUGGGUCGUUGCUAAGCUUCUCGGCUGUUUGUUGAAUUUGAUUUGCAUAAUGGGUUGAAGCUAGCAUUUUAGUAGUGCUGGAAUUCCAAAACUGAGACGAACUGAAGAAUUUGAUGUUAAGUAUCUAAGCAAUGCCCACAAUUAGUAACAUGUUCUGAGCUAAUCAAGGUUUGUCAUCUGAGUAUAUCGCCAAGUAGUGCAUAACUUAGUCCUUUUUAGAGUAAUGCAUCAUUUAGUUAGAAAUUCGAGCAUGUUUAGAUUAGUACUUAGCUCAUGUGGGUUACUGUCUCGGGCUUAGCUCGAGAAUUCCAGCACAUUAUGACUGGAUGUAUAACCUUCCACAUCAUACAAAACCACAUAUCAGACGAACCCAAAGAUUUUCCGUUGUUCCACAAAUUAAGCAGGCUGGCACUUUAUCUUGCUGCUGGCAUAGUCGGCAAACCUGAUAAAGAACAGAACCAAAAUCUUAUUCACAAUCAGUUCAAAGAUGGGCACCCCUGAUGAUGUCGCAGUACGUAACCACAUUUCCGAUAAAGUUAAUCCUUGCAGUCAAUCAAGUAUGUGCCAUACUUGAAAUCUUUAGCAAUGUAAUUGAACCUUCCAAGAAAAUCAAAGGAAGACCCUUGGCACGGCACCAGCCUGGGGUAAUGUUGUAUUGACUUAUUUUAAACAUAAAGAUUGAAGAAUCAAGCGAAUGUGCACAUGUCCAUCAACGUAUGUCUUACAGGGCAUUUUUUUCAUCUUCAUAUAUAUAUUCGAGUUCAAAGGUACAUUUUUGCUACAAAUUCAUGUGGAUAGAGCGCAAUCACAAUUAAGUAGAAUAUCACUUGAAAUGUAAAAUAUAACCAUGCACCAUCUUAAUUAAGAGCCUGGAGAAGUUUAAGGUGAGGUGAGUAUAUAAGUUUAACACAUAAACUCAAUAUUUUAUGUUUGGACAGUGCUAUUACUUUCGUCACCAUUUGACUCACAAGAAAUAUGACGUAGAAGUGACAGGACCAUCAAAUCUAAUAACCAUGAUGAGACACUGCAAAUAUUCUCAUGUGAGAGUAUGAGAAACAACAGAAAAACAAGUCCAAGAAGCCACACAUUGACAUAUUCCAAAUCACCAAAGAAAUGUCAUAAUAAUUUAAAAAGAAAUCCAAAACUUUGUAAGCAAGAUAGAGUAAAGAUCUAACAUAAGCCUGAAUGAAAAAAAAAAGAUUUUUUUUUUUAUAUACUUUUCAUCCCUGUACUGCCACCUUUUUAUGUAAUUAUGUCCAUAUACCUUAAACUUGUCGAAUCAAGUCUUUCUAUAUUUACAAAUUUACUAAUCAAGACCCAACCAAAUUUAAUUGACGUAACCCUCGAAUGAUGCCCCAAUAUGAUGCAAAUGCUCACGUAGACAUAUGUGGAAAAAUUUAGCCAAUGUAGACAAUGUUAGAAUGUGACAUGGAUAAAAUUUAGCUAAGGUGUUAGUCAAAGUAACGUCCAUAUUGGAGAUUUUUUUAUCUAUGUCACACACUGACAUCAUUUGAUGAUUACGCCAACUGGAUCUGGCAGGAUUUUGUGUUUAUUGGGAUUUGAUUAGAAAAAUUUGUUAAAUUUGAAUGACUUGACUCGACAAAAUAAAAGUACGAUGGAGAGAACAGUAAAGUAGGGAAUAUUUCAAAAAACCAACCGCAAAUCCAGUCAGCAAAUAUCAGCAAAAGAUAGUGGCAGUUGCUGAGAAAUUAUGGUCUAAACUACUCUUAUCUGCACCAGCAAAAGAAAGCCUCACCUGACAAGACAACUAAGUCUAUUUUGUACCACAUGAGCAAUGAAUGGAAUGGUCACUCUUGAGUACUCAAAAUUCCGCUGGUGUGUGGGUCCGAUCUCAACGACAUCAAAAGCCAAGAAAAGGUCGCGACUGUGAACAUGUCUAUAAACUUAGUCUCAUUUUAUCAUAUGCUUUGACAGGGAACAAAAUUUCUAAGCCAAACUAGCAGCUGUGAGGGAAAUAUAUUCAGCAAGGGAUGUUGACACCUAAAAUUUGAUGAUCUAGUUAAUUAUUCAUUGCAAAAAUUAAGUAAAAUUGAGGAUUGAUCCCGGUCCCUAAAAAGAUAUUAGCUAAGUUGCAUAUACAUAUUAGAAGCAUUUUUCAUUCAUUAAAUAGUAAGCCCACAUAUGAUUACACUUCGAUUGGACUGGUGUAAGGAGAUUAUGAGCUUAAUUGAGUUUAUUAGACUAAGCCCAUGAGAAUGAGAAAUUCGGCCUAACCCGUCUAUUUCCUUUGCUCGACCAGACAUCAAAUAUGCAGUAUAAGGAAUUUAGCACGAAUGAAGGAGCAAAUAUUCGUUAUUAAGGAAUAUAUUCUGAAUAAUUUUUUGGGAGAAUUAACUGGCCAAUUCUUUCCAUUAUUAAAGAUGCGCAUCAUGCUUAAAGUAGGCAAGUUAAUUUUUCUUAGUCAAAUCUGGAAGUAAUUGAACACUAUUUGAAAGGAUAAAAACAAAAAUAGAAAAAUAAAAAGGAAUAAAACAGGGAAAAAGUACAAAAAAAGUCAUAAACUAUUGCAUCGAUAUCAAUUCAAUUCUAAAAUUUUCAAUUAAAUCAAUUAAAUCAUAAAUUUUUUCACAUUGGUACUAAUUUAGUCAAUUUGACCAAUUUUGGUCGGCUAGUGGCCAGAUGUUGACGUAGCAAUUUUUAAAUAAUUUUUUUGAAUUUUUUUAUUAAUUUUUCCUUCUUCUUUUUUUCCCUUUUCCUUUUCUCUCUUCUUCCACCUUAAACUAUACUCACGGUGGCCAGCAAACCUUUGGUGAGGCUCGCCAACCAUUGGGCGAGGGCCGUGAAGCCCUUGUCGGCCGCUAGUGAGGGUCGUGGCCUUCGCUUAGCCUUGCCCAAGGCCGCGAGCGAGGCUACUUUGCCUAGGUCCAGGUGAGACCAGCCUCGCCCUAGCCUUGCCUUAGGCGAAGGCGGCCUCGCCCGUGGUUGGCAAGGCCAUGGCGGCCAUCGCCAAGGCCUAAGCAAAGGUCACCAUGUCCUCACCUGCAGCCCCGGGCGAGGGUGUGACCCUCCCUGGCAACUGGCCAGUGCUUCGCGGCCCUUGCCUAGUGGUUGGCGAGCCUUGUGGGAGGCUUGCUGACCACCGCGAGUAUAGUUCAAGGAGGAAGAAGAGAGAAAAGAAAAGGAAAAAGGAAAAGGGAAAAAAGGAAAAAGAAAAGGAAAGGAAAAGGAAUUAUUAUAAAAGAUUAAAAAAAUUAUUAAAAAUUGUCACAUCAUUGUCUGGUUAGCGUCCACAUCAGUGUCGGCUUGCCAAAAUUAGCCAGAUGGAAUGAAUUGGUACCAAUAUGAAAAUGUUUAAGACUAAAUUGAUUCAAAUGAAAAAGUUUAGGACUAAAUUGGUACAAAUGCAAUAAGUUUAUGAUUUUUUUGGUACUUUUCCCAAGAAAAUGGUGAAGAAAGAAAGAGAAUGAAGGAGCAGAGGACGCCGACAAAGAGGAAGAGGAGGGAGCGAAGCCAAUGGUAGCGUGGGAGGAGCUAGGGUUGGAGGCGGCGGCGGUGACGAAAGGGAGGGGGUGAAGGAGAAGGAGAGAGGGGAGGAGGAGUUAGGGUUUACGGUCACAAGCAAAGAAAGAAAAGAGAAAACAAGAAAAAAGAAAGGAAAAGAGAAAACAAGAAAAAGAAAAAAAGAGAGAAAGAAAUAAGAAAAAAAAUAUAAUAUUAACAAAUUCAAAAUUUUUAGUUAGUAAAAUUUUUAGGAAUAAAUUUUUCAUUAUCUAAGGACUUUAAAACAUUUUGGAAAAUGUUUUCCAAUUCUUUCAAAUAGAAAUCGUUUUUAUGAAUUUAAGCUUUGGAGGGAAAACCUAUUCUAUUGAUUAGGAAAAUAGUUUAUGUUAACUUAUUUUCCUAAGUGAAUCAAACACUGGUAAAUGAGGAAAACGCUUAUUUAGGAAAUUGUUUUUCGCAAAACAAACACACCCUUCACUGUGUUCCCAAACACCUAGGGAGCUAUAGGACAUUAGUGUUCGCCGACACAUUUUCUAGGAUUGCCUUUUCCACAUUUUAUUUUUCAAAUUUCCAUGUUCUUUAACAAUAUUUCGGAAAAUGAAUGAUACAUGGGGGGAAAUUAGGAAUUCAACAUGAAACGUUGCAAACUAUUAAUUUGGAGGAGAGAGAUAAAAAUGAUUAGAUGGAGUGUAAAGACUGGAUAAUCUUUAAAUAUGAUGCAGCAUGGAGAAAUCUAAUUUGAGAAAAUUAUUUCGAAAGAGAUUUAUUUUGAGAGCUACUUUCUCGGUCAAAUCUCUUUUGAAAAAAGUAAUGCGUCCCGCACACUUUUAAUAACAAUAUCCUAUAUAAUCCCACGAUUGAUAUGCUUUUGUUAUCGACUCAUGUUCAUUAGCAGCUUCGACCAAAAAAAUGAAGAAGAAGAAAAAAAAAUGUACAUUAGCAACAGGAGAAGGUGAUUGUCGGUAACCACUGGGAGUUCGCCCCAAUGACCACUCUUCCAACUUGGAAGGGGGAUGUUGGGAGUUCAAAUUCCUAACUUCGCGGGGGGAUUGGGGUGGGGAUGAUUUCAUUUCAAGAAUGGAUUUCGACUCCCACGUCCUGCAAUGAGGCAGGGCAAAAGUCUGAAAGUGAGUGUUAGAGUAAGAUUAUAGUAGGAUCGAAAAAAAGAAAAAAGAUGACUGUUGGUCGUUAGUUGUCUUUUUCUAUUCUGUCUAGUAAUACAAAAGGCUAGCCAAGUCAGACAAUGCUGGAGGAUCUCAAAUCUCAAUGAAAGCACAUGCAUGCACCAUCCUCGUAUAAUGCUGAGGAUCGGCGGAGAUCACAGCUGGCGCACGUGAGUAUUGCUCGUUGGUUCUCUUUUCUAUUUUCUUUCGUUAAUAUCGAAAGGCAAGUCAAGUCAAUCCGUACUGGAUCUCAAAUUUUGAUCAAAGCACCAGGCACGUGAUUGCAUGUGAGUAAUUGCUCGUUGGGUUCCGCACACAUUCCGCAAGAUGCUGCGGAAACUUCGCGUGCAAUGACUGUUCUUUCCGCGGCAUGUUUCGCUGCGGUUCGAUUAGCAUGAAGAGACUUCGACCGUUGGAUAGCUAGGCCCCAACAUUAUAUGCUUUGCACAAAUAGCCCCGGUCGAUCUUUUCAUGCGUCAACAAUUUUUAUCUAAUUAAUUUGACUAACCCAUAUAUAUAUAUAUAUAUAUCCGGAUGGAGAGGAAAUCCUAUUCAGGUAGAUAAAUUUCCACCGUAUAAUUCUAAUAAUGGAAAUUUGGUUCAUUCACUCUAAAUAUUUUGCCUUCCAUACCCAAAAUUUAGGACCUCACUAAUUUCAUCCUUUGCACUUCUAUAUCCUCAAGAAACUUUGAGCCUGCAUACAUCUUUUCUCUUGACAAUGUAAAUGGUUUAUAAAAUUUUUUUAGCCCUGAUUACAUCCUAGAUUGCAGUUUGUUUUAGGGAGGGUUUUAUCCGUUGAGCACACGCACUGAUUAGUAAAAGCAUCGCCAGGAGAAAAAAAUGAACUUUAUGGUUCUUCCCUAAACUUUAAUUUGCUUUCUCUUCGCUAGUUAAUCUUUCCUAUGUGCAUAUACUUGCUUCGUUCUUCCAUAACGAAACAUGUAAUUGGUAAAUUGUCGAACUUGUGAACUACAAUAUCCACUAUUUUAUCAAGUCUCAUUUUUUUUUUCCAUUUUUAAUUUGAGGUAGUACAUUAAACAUGCUAACAAAAUAGAAUCUAAAUAGGAAACAAAAAUAAAAAUAAAACAAUUGGCUAUGGUGCAAUAUUAUAUAGCAAUAUAAUUGGUCUAGGUCGUGAUAUUGUAGUGUAGUUGGUUUAUAAUAUCCAAUCACUAAUGACAAACGACUAUAACAAGUACAUAGAUCUUUUUCUUUUCCAUUUUUUUAAUUGAUAUGAGAAGGAAAAUAUAUUUAUAGGAUUAUAAAUAUUAAGAGAGAGAAUAGAUCUUGCAUUGCCAACAAAGCAACAUGGCAAAAAAGUUGUAUAAUACCUUAAGAUUGCUUCAUUUGCAGUACCUUUAUUAAAGAUAUAUAAAGUUGUAUAAUACCAAUGGCUAAGAUAUUAAGUGUAAUACUCAAAUAUAACCUUGUUUAAGAGAUAAUGACGACAAAGACAGCGAUAAAUAUGCCCUAUCCAAUAAGUAACUCACCGAUAAAAUACGAUAAAACCCAACUCGCCCUCGAGUGCUGUCGGAAUAUUAUUGCAAAUACAUCCAUGAAGCCAUCGAUAGAAGACACGUACUUGCAAAUACAUCCAUGGUCCAUAUUUGAAAUUCAGCACUCAAAAUUUUUAGUGAUUAUUUUUCAGUUUUAUCUUAACGGCACGUACUCGCAGCUUAUUUUUCACAAACGAAUUUAAGUUCAGCAUUGGCAAAAAAAAAAAAAAAAAAAAACAAGUUGAGUCGAGUUGAAAGUCGAGUUAUAGUACAUAAGCUUUGACUCAAAAUUACCAGUGCAAUCGUUUACUUUAAGUAGUUAGAGUACAAUGUUGAAUAUAUUUUGUCUUAACAGUUCAUUUGGUUUAACUUCUAGCUUUUUCUUGACGAUAAAGCAAGAAUUAGGUACAUAAAUUCACAAAUCAAUAAAUAAUCCACUAAUGCAAAGGAUCACACAAGACACAGGUCCCUAGUUAUGAAACCAUUUUAUGCUUACAAACGCGAGGAACCAAACACACGUCAUGUAUCUAGUUUCCAUACACUAAUUUUUGCUUUCCUUUCUCUUGCAACUCACACAGUUGAACUUUUGUUUAACAUAAAUAACUUAAAAGAUUCAAAAUGUGUAAAUACAGUCACGUAGAUAAUUAUACAAAUCUUUUUGUAAUUAACUUAAAUUAUAUAUUAAUUUUUUAAAUGUUAAACAUUUAUUAUGUUAUACCAAAAUUAUCUUGAAAGAGGUAAUACACCAGGCCAAAGUAAGGAGCCACCUCAGUUACCGUCGAGUCCACGUCCGUGUGGCCAUGCAGCGUUGUCGUCGAGGUCCGAGGGGCGAUGGAUAUUCCUGUCUCCUUUUUCAAAAGCCGAAGUAAUCACUCCGAAAGUCCAACCCCCAUGUCGCCUCGGUUGGGAAGUACACAGGAACUCGCUCGGUCCGCGCGCCACGUGAGGUCGAGGGGCAAGUCGGAGUGGCAGAAGAUAUCCUCGAGGUCCGAGGCGGGGACCCCGCUUAGGCUUCGGUUUCAGAGCAGCUGACCGUCGUAGCGGUCAAACAAGUACGUGCCGCACUUGAAAUCUCUAGCAACGUAAUUGAACCUUGCAAUAAAAUCAAAGGAAGAACCUCGGCGCAUCACCAGCAUAGGAGACCACCAUAUUGACUUCAUUUAAAAAGAAAGAACGACGAAUCAAGCAAAAGUUAGUAUGUACAUAUCCAUCUAUGCAUCUCUUACGGGGCGCUUUUUCAUCUUUUAAUAUAGACUCGAGUUCAAAGGUAAUUUUUUGCUACAAAUUCACAUGAAAAUAGCAUAAUUACAAUCAGUAGAAUAUCACUUGAAAUGUAAAAUAUGACCAUGCACCAUCUUAUCUAAGAGCCAAGUUUGAGAAAAGACUACCAAAAACCCUAAACUUUACCAAAAGUGACAAAUUUAUCUCAAACUUUUUUUGUGACGUGAAAAACCUAAAACUUUUCAAAUUGUAACACAUUUACCCAAUCAAGGGCAUUUUUGUCUUAUUUUUUCUCUUUUUUUUUUCUUCUUCUUCCCUCUACUGGCUAUGGUGGAGGGAAGCUGGCAUCCCGGCGAGGGCUGCCCUUAUCGACGUUGGGCUAGCUCAUGCGAGGGUCGUCUCGCCCUGGGGCUUGGCUANNNNNNNNNNNNNNNNNNNNNNNNNNNNNNNNNNNNNNNNNNNNNNNNNNNNNNNNNNNNNNNNNNNNNNNNNNNNNNNNNNNNNNNNNNNNNNNNNNNNNNNNNNNNNNNNNNNNNNNNNNNNNNNNNNNNNNNNNNNNNNNNNNNNNNNNNNNNNNNNNNNNNNNNNNNNNNNNNNNNNNNNNNNNNNNNNNNNNNNNNNNNNNNNNNNNNNNNNNNNNNNNNNNNNNNNNNNNNNNNNNNNNNNNNNNNNNNNNNNNNNNNNNNNNNNNNNNNNNNNNNNNNNNNNNNNNNNNNNNNNNNNNNNNNNNNNNNNNNNNNNNNNNNNNNNNNNNNNNNNNNNNNNNNNNNNNNNNNNNNNNNNNNNNNNNNNNNNNNNNNNNNNNNNNNNNNNNNNNNNNNNNNNNNNNNNNNNNNNNNNNNNNNNNNNNNNNNNNNNNNNNNNNNNNNNNNNNNNNNNNNNNNNNNNNNNNNNNNNNNNNNNNNNNNNNNNNNNNNNNNNNNNNNNNNNNNNNNNNNNNNNNNNNNNNNNNNNNNNNNNNNNNNNNNNNNNNNNNNNNNNNNNNNNNNNNNNNNNNNNNNNNNNNNNNNNNNNNNNNNNNNNNNNNNNNNNNNNNNNNNNNNNNNNNNNNNNNNNNNNNNNNNNNNNNNNNNNNNNNNNNNNNNNNNNNNNNNNNNNNNNNNNNNNNNNNNNNNNNNNNNNNNNNNNNNNNNNNNNNNNNNNNNNNNNNNNNNNNNNNNNNNNNNNNNNNNNNNNNNNNNNNNNNNNNNNNNNNNNNNNNNNNNNNNNNNNNNNNNNNNNNNNNNNNNNNNNNNNNNNNNNNNUGGCUUCCUUUCACGGAUUCCGCCAUGGCCGGCAGGGGGAAGAGAGAAGAAAAAAAAAAAGAAAAAGAAAAGUAAAAAGACCAAAAUGCCCUUUAGUUUAUGAUAAAUGUGUCACACGACAGAAGUUUAGGAUUUUUUAUAUCACAAAAGAAAGUUUGGGAUAAAUGUGUCACGGUUGGCAAAAUUCAUGAUUUUUAAAAUCACAAAAAAAAGUUUGGGGGUAAAUCUGUCACUUUGGACAAAGUUUAGGGUUUUUCGUGAUUUUUUCCAGCCAAGUUUAAGGUCUAAGAUCAGCAUUUUGAUAUCAUUACGAUCAUCUUAUAAGCAGUAAGCAUUCAAGUAGCAUUCAAGUAGCAUUCAAGUUUAAUACAUAAACUUGAUAUUUUAUGUUUGGACAUUGCUAUUACUUUUUUUUUUUUGGUAAGGUAACAUUGCUAUUACUUUUGUCACUAUUUGACUCACAAGAAAUUUAACAUAGGGAAAUUUAACAUAGGAGUGAUAGGACCAUUAGCCCUAAUAACCAUGAUGAGACACUGCAAAUAUUCUUGUGUCAGAGUAUGAGAAACAACAUAAAAAUAAGUCCAAGAAGCCACACUUUUGACCUAUUCCAAAUCACCAGAGAAAUAUCAUAAUUAAUUAAAAGAAAUCCAGAGCUUUGUAAGCACGGUGAAGUAAAGAUCCAGCAUAAGCCUGAAAGACAAAAUUAAGUUUUUUUUGGGUACUUUCAUCCCUAUACUUUCACUUUUUUCUCUCAUUAUGUCCCCAUACCUUAAACUUUUCUAAUCAAUUUAUUUUGCUUUCACAAAUUUCCUAAUCAAGACCCAACCAACCUUAGCUUAUGUAACCGUCAAAUAAUGCCCCAGUACGAUGCGGAUAACUUAUGUGGAUGCCCACGUAGUCAUGUAUGGAAAAAUUUAUCCAAUAUAGACAAUGUCAGAACGUGACAUGGAUAAAAUUUAGUUAAGGUGUAUGCCAAAGUAUAUGUCUAUAUUGGAAAAUUUUUGUUUACGUCACACAACAAUAUCAGUUGACAGUAAUGCCAGCUGGAUUUGGUCGAGUUUUGUGUUAGAGGGAUUUGAUUGGAAAAUUUAUGAAAUUUCAAAGAACUUGUUAGUAAAAUUACGGUAGAGAAAACGUGAAAGUAGAGGAUAAGAAGAAGACUGAUUUCGAAAAACCAACAGCUAAUCCACAGUCAGCAGAAGAAUGCCUUACCUGACAAGAUAAGUAGGUCUACUUUGUACCACGUGAGCAAUGAAUGGAAUGGUUACACUACAUCCUCACAAUUCCACUGGUAUCUGGGUCCAAUCUCAAGGACAUCAAAAGCCAUGAAAAGAUCACAACUGUGAACAUCUCUCUAUGAACUUGUCUCAUCAUAUGCGUCAAGAGGGAAUAAAAUCUUUAAGCCAAACUAGUAGUUGUGAGGAAAAUAUAAUCAGCAAUUAAUGUUGACACAUAAAUUUUGACUACCCAAUUAGUUAUUUAUCGCAUAGAAAAAUUAAAAAAUCGACCUCGUCCCCUAAAAAAAAUAUUAGUUAAAUUACAUAUAGAUAUUAGGAGCAUUUUUCAUUCAUUAAUAGUAAGUCCACAUAUAAUUACAUUUUGAUUGGACUGGUGCAAGGAGAUUUUGAGCGUAAUCGAGUUAAUUGGACUAAGCCCGUGGGAAUGAGAAAUUCAGCCUAAUCCAUUUAUUUCCUUUGCUCGACCAGACAUCAAAUAUGCAGCACAAGGACUUCAGCACGAAUGAAGCAGCAAAUAUUCGUUAUUGAGAAAUAUAUUCUGAACCUUUUUUUGGGAAAAUUAACUGACUAAUUCUUUUCAUUAUUAAAGAUGCACGUCAUGCUUAAAGUAGGCAAGUUAAUUUUUCUUAGUCAAAACUGGAAGUAAUUGAACACUAUUUGAAAGGAAAGAAACAAAAAUAGAAAAAGAAAAAGGAAGAAAACGGGGAAGAAAGAAAGAAAUUCACGGCCCGAGCAUGAUAGACCAGAGAAUAAUGUAUGCACUCACAAGAGGAAAGUGGAAUUCGGCCAGCCCAAAAGGAGUUCUCGCCAAGUAUAAAGAGAUAACACUGCAACACGUAAAAGAGGAGACAAAGGAGGGAGACAAAAUGUUCGAUAAAUUCACGUUCGCAAUUAACGAGAAGUGUGAGCAAUACAUAAAAGAGAACUCAAGUUUUUUCUGUGCCUCGAAAAGCUAGCCCCUACGCAGUAAGUGUGUCUAUGUUUUGACGUUACGAUUGGGAGAAAACAUGUGCGUUCAAUGACAUUGGAGAUUGAUUUACAUGUCUCAAAGUCAUUAGUUGGAAUUAAAAGUGGACUGUAAAUGCAUGUGAAGAUAUUCGAAAAGUACACUUGUAAUAGGUGGAGACGAUAUUUGGGGCACUCAUGAAAAAAAAUGGAUUGAACGGGCCAAAAUAUUUUAGAUAUUUAUAGCAUAAGUUUUGUCAUAUUGAUGCAUUUCGUUAAACAAUUUUUUUAAUCUUGAGGAGAAGCUUCUAUUGCAUUCAUUUAUAGUUUAAGAACUAUAGAUGGACGUAAAUGAUCAACGGCACAUUUUCUAGGGUCGCAUCUUCCACAUAUUUUCAAAUUUCCACACCUUUAAAAAUAUUUUGGAAAAUGAAUGAAAAAUAGGAGGGAAGUUAGGAAUUCAACAUGAAGCGUUAAAAACUAUUAACUUAAGGAGAGAGAUAAAAGUGACUUAAGCAGAGGGUAAAGACCGGAUAAAACAUGAUAUAGCGUAGAGAAAUCUGGUUUGAGAAAAUUAUGUCGGAAGAGAUUAAUUUUCAGAGUUACUUUCCCAGACGAAUCUCUUUUGAUAAAAGUAAUUCGUCCUGCAGGCAUUUGAAUAACGAAAUCCUAUAUACCACGCUUGAUAUGAUUUUGUCAUUGACUCAUGUACAUUGGCAGCGGGAGCAUGCGACUGUCGGUCGUUAGUUUUCUUUUUCUGUUCUGUUUACUAAUAGAAAAGGCAAGCCAAAUCAAGACAAUGCUGCAGGAUCUCAAAUCUGAAUGAACGCACCUGCAUGCACCUCCCUUGUAUGAAGCUGAGAAUCGGUGGAAAUCACAGCUGGAGCACGUGAGUAUUGCUCCUUAGCUUUCUUUUCCAUUUUCUUUCGUUAAUAUAAAAGUCUAUUUACUUUCAUUAAUAUGAACGGCAAGCCGUGCGGGAUCUCGACUUUUGACCAAAGCACCGGGAGCAAGUGAGUGUUGCACGUGAUUGCAUGUGCGCACGUGAGUAUUUAUUUUGGCUCUUUCGGUUCCGCGCUCCUUCCACUAAAUGCUGCGGAAACUAUGCAUGCAAAGAUUGUUCUUUCAGCGGCAUGCCUCGCAGUGGUUCGAUUAGCACGAAGAGUCUUGGACCGUUGGAUGGCAAGAACUCAGCAUUAUGUGAUUUGCACAAAUAGCCCCGGUCAAUCUUUCUAUGCUUCAACAAUUUUUUUCUAAAUAAUUUGACAACCCAUUCAUAUAUAUAUAUAUUUCCAGAUGCAGAGAAACCCUACCUACUUAGACAAAUUUCCAUUGUAUCAUUCUAAUAAUGGAAGUUUGGUUCAUUCACUCUGAAUAUUUUUCCUUCCAUGCAAGUAAAAGUCUAAGACCUUACUAAUUUCAUCAUUGCUACUUUGAACAAACGUUUCUCUUUUCUCUGGAUAAAUUUCUUUUGCCUCGAUUAUAUCCUGGAUUCCAACUAUUUUUUUUUUUUUUAAAGGAGGGAAUUAUCCAUGGAGGACGCACACUAAUUUGUAGAGGCACCAUUAGGAGAAAAGAAUAAACUUUAUGAUGUGAAAAAAAUUACAUUUUAUAUUCUUCCCUAAAUUUUAAUUUGUUUUCUCUUUGCUAUUUAAUCUUUAUUAUAUGUAUACUUGUUUAUUUCUUCCAUAACGAAACAUAUAGCUGCUAAUCUAUCAUCCUUGUGAGACACAAUGCCCACUAUUUUAUCACGUCUCAUUUUUUUUCAUCUGUAAUUUGAGGUAGUACAUUGUUAAGAGACGAAGGAAAACGAAAGGCCCAUGUGUACUCUACUAUCGGUAGAAUAUAUUUUCCACGCCCCGAUUUUACAAUCAAGACGUGCUGCACCCCAAUUUUCAAUCAAAGCACGUUGCAUAAGUAGGAUCCACACACCUUCCGCAUAAUGCUGCAGAAAUUAAUUAUUAUCGAACAACCUUUUCUUUCAUUUUAAGUCCUUAAAAUGGUCCAUAUUUGAAAUACAGUACUCGAAAUUUCGGUAAUUAUUUUUCAGUUUUUUCUAAACGGGCUCAUACUCGCAGCUGAUUUUUCACAAAUGAAUUUAAGUUCAGCAUCAGCAAAAAGACAAGUUGAGUCAAGUGGAAAGUUGAGUUAUAGCACCCAAGGUUUGACUUGAAAUUACCUAUGUAAUCAUUUACUUUAAGCCGUUAGAGUACAGUGUUGAAUAUAAUUUACAUCAUAGCAAUUUAUUUGGUUCGACUUCUAGCUUUUUGUUAACGACGAACACAAAUCAGAUACGUAAUUCACAGGUCAACAAAUUCUCCACUAAUGCAAAGUAUCAAGCUAGACACAAGUCUCAUAUACGAAACAGUUUAUGCUUGCAAAUAUGGCGGACCAAACACACGUUGUGUACCUAGUCUCCAUCUACUAAUUUUUACUUUCUAUUCCCUUGCGACUCUCAUAGUCAAACUUUUUUUUUUUUAUAACAAAGAUCACUUAAAAGAUUCAAAAUAUGCAAAUACUAUCACGUAGAUAAUUAUAUAAUUAUAUUUUUAAUUUAACUUAAAGAAUAUACAUAUUUUAAAUCUUUCAAAUGUAAAAAAUCAAUUAUACUUUUAAGUGCAGUCUAAAUUUUUAUCGAAGGGUUGCAUACCAAAAUUAUCUUUUAUUUUGAAAGAAGUAAAGCACCUCAUUAGUCAUUAGAGAAAAAGGCCAAAGCAUGGAGCCACCUCAGCUAGCGCUGUCGGGGACCCGUCUCCUUUUUCAAAAGCCAAAAGAAAUUGCCCCGAACGUCAAACCCGCCCACUCGCCUCGGUCAGGGAGAGCACGGAAACUCGCUCGGACCGCGCGCCACGUGAGCUCGAGGGGGGCAAUUCGGUACAUUCCGAGUGGCCGAAGAUAUCCUCGAGAUGCGAGGUGGGGACCACACAUUGGCUUUGGUUUCUGAGCAGCUGACCGGCGUAGCGGUCGAGCAACGCGAACACGGAGAGGAGGAGCGGCGUGGGUCCGCGUGAAGAGACAACCUAAGCAGAAUCUUUUUUUUUGGUCGAAGCCUAAGCAGAAUCCACACGGCAAAUUUCUACUCUGUUUUCGUGGAUAAAAGGGUCUCGAACAGUUGGACGGCAAUAACUCAGCAUCGUUCGAGCAAGCGCGGGAGAGAGUGUUAAGCGUAGUUAAUCCGAGGUUGAAGGCUGAGAACCGGCAGAGUUCACAGCAGUAGGUGAAUUGUGUUGUUUGAGCACUCUUCAGGUAAUCGAUUGCUCCAUUUUCUUUUGAUGAGUUUCGAUUUGAGUUCUUGGAGACAUUUUUGCAUUCCGAGAUUUGGACUGUGAAAUCUAGACUUUUUUUCUUCAAGGCUCUGCUCGAUCGAUGUCCUAUUUGGUCAAUUAGACUUCAUUUCUGUUUGAAUUUAGCUACGAAAUGAGCUCUGACAGACAUUUCGGCAAUUCCCGAAUCCGGGAUUCCGUAUUUCUCUUUGUUUUCUGCUUUUCUUCGAGGCUCUGCUCCAUCGAUCUCUUCCAUUCCCUUUAUAGGUGAUUACAAAGGCGGAGCCUAAAAGAUUCGAUAUGUGGGGACAUUCAGAAGAUCCGAAUUGUGGGGCUUCUUCCUCAUCGACUUCACCGCAUGUAGGUGAUUAUGAAGGCAGAACCAAAAAGAUGAAAAGAAAUGACUACGAAGUGUUCUUGAGCUUUAGAGGGAAGGAUACUCGUAAUGGCUUCACCGAUUAUCUAUAUACUAGUCUUGUUGAUGCAGGAAUUCAUGUGUUCAGAGAUGACAAUGAGCUUUGUGUUGGUGAGGAGAUUGGACCGGAACUUUUCCGCAGUAUUACACAAUCUAAGAUCUCCAUCCCGAUUAUCUCAGAGGACUAUGCAUCCAGCAAAUGGUGCCUUCGCGAGUUGGCUCUUAUGUUGAAUUGCAAGAGAAACAAAGGGCAAAUGGUGUUACCCAUAUUUUACAAAGUGGAACCUUGGCAAGUGAAGCAUCUCACAGGGAGAUUUGGAGAUGCUAUCAAUACACAUAAAAAGAAUUUGGAAGAAAAGAUUGUGAAGGAAUGGGAAGAAGCACUCAAAGAAGUCACUUCCUUGAAAGGAUUGGAAUCGGAGAAAAUUGAUAAUGGGUACAUUAUUCUCCACCACAACAUUGUUUACUUUCUCAUAACUAGAUCUUACUUGAAAAAUAAUACAAAUAUUUCCAUCAUAUAUUGAAAUUUUUAUUGUUGUUCGACAGGCGUGAAGGAACAUUGGUUAAAAUAGUUGUCAGAAAAGUUAUGAGUAACUUAAAGGAAUUGUUUUUGCUAAAUGUUCCCAAACAGUUGGUGGGAAUUGAUGAUCGUGUGGAGCGUAUUAUGCACUUCAUAAAUGCUAAAUUUAGUGAUACAAGUAUUAUCGGAAUCUAUGGAAUGGGCGGCAUCGGUAAGACAACCCUUGCGAAGGUGUUGUACAACAAGCUUUUGAGUCAUUAUGAGUCUCAUAGCUUUGUGGCAGAUAUUCGAGAAAAAUUUAAGCUCAAGGGUCUUGAAUGCAUACAAAAGCAGCUCAUUUAUGACAUUAGUGGAGGCUUAUGUGAUGUGUCUAAUGUCGAUCACGGAAUCAAUAUCCUUAAAUCUCGAUGUAUAAAUAAGAAAGUUCUCAUUCUUCUUGAUGACAUGGAUGAUAAUACUCCCUUGAAUGCUUUGGUUGAAGACGGUAGUUGGUUUAAAGCUGGAAGUACGGUCAUCAUCACCACUAGAGACAAGAGUAUUCUUGACAAGGUUGGGGUAAGAUACAAGUAUCAACUCAAUGAGUUGCUUUCAUAUCAAUCAUUGGUUUUAUUUAGCAGACAUGCAUUUCGAACGGAUUCUCCUCCGAGUGAUUAUUGGGUUAUCUCUCGUGAUAUCGUAUCUACUACUGGGGGGCUUCCUUUAGCUCUUGAAGUUAUUGGUUCAUUCUUAUGUGGAAAGACAAAAGAAGCAUGGAAAGCUACAUCAAAAAAAUUAGAGAAAGUGCCUAAUAAGAAAGUGCAAGAGAAGUUGAGAAUAAGUUACGACGCAUUAGAUUUUGAGGACCAGCAGAUUUUUUUGGAUAUUGCAUGUUUUUUUGUCGGAUCAUCUAUACAAAAUCCGACUUACAUGUGGGAUGCCUGUGGUUUUUUCCCGGGAAAGGGGAUUGAAGUAUUGAAUCUUAUGUCCCUAAUUAAAAUUACUGAUGAUGGCGAGCUAAUGAUGCAUGAUCAGCUGAGAGAUCUUGGAAGGGAAAUUGUUCGUCAAGAAAAUCUAAAGAAGCCUCAAAAGCGUAGCAGAUUGUGGGAAUAUGAGGAUGGCGUAGAUGUGCUUCUCAGCAACAAGGUAAGAGUUUUUCUCCGCUUGUCUUAAUCAUCGAAUGUGAGCACAUCUUCUCUUUCUUGUUUAAGAUAAUAAUUAUAGUCAAUCACGAGUCCCCAAAACUGGCUGCGUCUACUGGCAAGAGGGCACUUUUAAUUAAUUGCUCUUCUUGUCGGACUUUAGGACAAAAUUGAAGAGCAAUUUCUUGGUUAUUAAUAACUAAUAUUUUUAACUAGUAAGAUUGUGAUGAGGAUACUCUCCUUUUGCUAGCUUCAAUAAAAAAACAAAGCUACAAAUUAAUGUUCGAUAGAGCACUUUUAAAGAAAAUCGAAUAUCUAUAAAUUGUUGGGGCCAUGCUUUCCCACAUUUUUGUUUGGUGCACAGGUUGAUGUUUGAAUUCUUAUAUUGAUUUCUUUUGAGGUAUUUUCUUUCUUUUUUCUUUUAACGAGUACCGACUUCUUAAGAGUUUGCUACGAUGAAUGAGACCAUUCAUUAGUGAUGAUUAGCUAUCCCGAUUCUUGAAUUUUUCAAGUUGGGUAAAGUAUAGAUUUAGUCCCUCAAGUAAUACUAUUUGUAAGAUUUAAUCCCCUUUCUAUUUUUUGCUCAAUACCAUUCUCCAUCUUUCACAGUUUGUGCGAUCAAGUCCUUUGUAGUCAACCGUUAAUGAACAUGGUCAAUUUGUUGAUGUGACUUUCAUAUACUAUAAAUAAUAUGGUUAUAAUUAAUAUAAAUCCUAGUUAUAAUUAGAAAUCUAACAUUAAUAGAGUGACUUGGAAAAAAAGACAUGAAUUUUGGGAAUAACUAUUACUACAAGUAAAUAUUGUAAUAGACUAUAAUAGCCAUUACGGUAAUGAAACGUGCUCUAAUAAUCUAAAUGCAUGUAAUAAUACAUUGCUACAUAAUGUGUAUGUAACUAAGGGUUAGUAAAUGUGUACAACUAAACGGUAUAUAUUAUGCGGUAAGAUAUUUAGUUCAAAGUAAGACGUUAGGAAAAAAAAAGUAGAAAUUUUCCAAUAAACGGUAUAUAUUAUGUAUUCCCAAAAAAAUAUAUAUUAAUAAAGAUAUGUUCUCAAUACCAUAAUUAUAAAAAUUUUAAUGUUGAAGUAUUAUCUAAACUAAAUUUUUUGACAUGAUACUUGUUAAACUUGGAAGUUAAAUAUUUCAACCAUACAUACAUGACCUUUUUCUUUAUAUAGAGGAUGAGUGAUGAAGUGACUUUUCAGUUACAACAUUUUUAAAUAUUUAUAGAAGAAUGAUAAUUAAUAAUAAAACUAAACAAUUUCACAACUGUAUGUUGGCACAGAAGUGAUAUUAACAUAAUAUAAUUAUUCUUCAUGUCCAAUCUAUCUCUUAGCAAGAUCUUAUUAAUUUAUGGGCAAAAUUGAUCAUAAAAUUAGAUGACUGUUAUUUCUUUGUAACAAAAUCAACAUGAAAUGAAAAGUUAGCAUCAAACAUAUAUAGUAAUAAAAAGAGAAGUGAAAAUCAUGCAUAUAACUUGUUGAGGAAACACAUGAUAAGAAAGGAAUGCAAAACAUCUGUGUACUUCUUGGGAUGGAAUUCUCAUUUUCAUUUUGCUAUCGAGAAUUGUAAACAAGGUACGAAAGAAAAAGAGGGGAAUUCUACAAUUGAGAUUCUUUAGUAUUGAUACAUGCUUUGACGGUAAAUUUGAUAUAUGCAUUUGAAGUUUUGAACUGUAAGAGACAUGUUGUUUCACAUAUAAAGGAUAUGAGUUAGUUUGUUAUUUCCCAUAUAAAGGGCAUGGAAUUUUGAAGUGAUGUUUGCAUGAAAAGAGGCCUUCUAUAUUAAUUUUGAAAGGAUGGGACUUUGGGGAAUUUAAAAGCUGCAAAUUGUGAAGGGAAUAAUUGGAAGAGGAAAAGUUUGGGAAGACCCUCUUGAGGUUCACAUUUUUACAUUGAUUACCACAACCUGUCAUGUCAUGAAGUCGAAAGUGAGAAGCUUAAAUCAUGAUAGUACGACAACAAAUUUGAAAUCAAUACAUUUUUUCUCAUAUAUAGUUGCUUUCAACCCAUUAUUCAAAACAACAAUUUACAAUGUUGCCUAAUUGCAGGGCACUAGUAAAAUUGAGGCCCUUCGUCUUGACUUAGAUAAUGGGAAAGGAAGUUACAUGGCUGAAACAUUUAAAGAAUUGACCAAAUUGAGGAUACUUCAACUGGAAGGUGUGAAUCUCACUGGACAUUUUCAGAACUUGUUUCCUCAACUAAGAUUGCUUGAGUGGAUGGAUCAUCAACCGGAUUUUGAAUUGACCAACUUUCACCUGAAGAAAUUAGUCGUGCUCGAUUUGUCGUGGAGCAAGAUUUCAGAGAACUGGGGAGGAUGGAGUCAACUAAAGGUAAAAUGUAAAGAAGGCAUAUGUCUUAUAAAUAAUCACGUGUUGUCGAUGGACCCAAUUGCACCAAGUUAUACUUAAUUUCUUCUGAAAAUAUAUAUUAUGGAUUUUCUUCUAAGCAUAAGAGGAAUUCAUAGGCACCUAAAUAUGUCAAAAGCUUCUACCCCUUAAUAUUUUAGCAAACUAGUCAUGCUUAACAUCAGACCUACUAAUAAAAACUUUUUAAAUCGUAUUAAUUAACAUCUAUCAAAAAUAUAAUUACAAUAAUGUGCCCAUGUUAAUUUUAAUCUAAAUGGUUUAUGGCUUCUAGUUAAUUUCUCCCCAUGCAAAAGUAUGUAUUUUUAGCAAUUCUUGUUAUAUGUAUGUAUGUAUCUUCUUUCAUAAAAAUGCAAAGACCCUCACAGUGACUUGUGUUUUACAUACAUACUAAAAUUCUAAAUUCAUUGUUACUUUUAAAGUAAUGGAAAUAAUUUGUGAACUACUUUGACUUGUUGCGCACAAUAAUUAUUCAUUAUUAUUGUUGAUUGUUGAAGUCACCGUAUAACACAUUUAUAAAGUACUAAUGUCAUAUGAGUAAUACAACACUUUUUUAUGUCUCGUACAUAUAGCAUUUAAAAAUUGUUUUUCAUAAUUAAAGUAGCCAUUUCUCUUUAAUUUCAUACUAAUUGAAGGAAAACAUGGCACCAAAUGAAUGCAUCUCAUUUCUUCCAUUUGACUUUGUCAUAUGUAAUUUGAUAAUAAAAUUUGUGUAUCUCUAUUCAAUAAAUAACAACAUAGUCAUAACUUUGAAAAACUAAACAUGACAUUUUCUAAGAAAUUUUAUUUGCGAAAAAUUGUAGAUAGCACUCAUACAUCCCUAACAUUCUCUUUGCAAUGAUAUGCUUAAAAACAUUUAUAUGCUAGCUUGGCGAAUACACUAUUGAAAAGAAACAUUUAAAAUUAAAUUAAAUAGCUGUGUAAAAAUAGGGAGAAUGGGAUUAUUUUUUUUGUCCAAUCUCAAAGUGGUAACCUCUUUCUUUCAGAUAGCAACCGAGCUCAAGGUUCUCAACCUUACGAAUUGUGCUUUAAGAACAACUCCCGACUUGUCCGCUUUCAAGAGUUUGGAGAUUUUGAUACUUGAAGCUUGUGAGGAUCUAGAAGAGAUUCAUCCUUCUAUCGAGGACAUCGAGACCCUUGUCUCCUUGAAUGUCAGUAAUUGUUGGGAGCUGAAGAAGCUACCACUAGGAGUAGGUAGAAUGGAAAAUUUGAGCAAGCUUCUCAUAGAUAACACUAAUAUACGAGAGAUUCCUAUUUCAAGAGGUUGUUUGACAAAGCUGGAGACUCUACAUGCCUCAGAUUGUAGACGGCUUGCUCAACUUCCAGAAUCCUGGGGCUCCCUUAUGUCAUUAACUCAACUAGACCUAAAAAGAACAGAAAUUGAGGAAUUACCCGAAUCCAUUGGAUCAUUAAAGAAGCUCAAGACUCUAAAUACCUCUUAUUGUGCAUUGUUAACUUGCCUACCCAACUCAAUAGGCGAUUUAGCAUCUCUAUGUUGCCUUGACCUAAGAAAUUGCCAAAAGCUUGCUCAACUUCCAAACUCCAUAGGCUCCCUCGUGUCUCUAUUGCAAUUGUUGUUGUCGAGAUGCUACUCGUUGAGACAAAUCCCAGGCUCGAUUGGAAAGUUGACAUCAUUGACUGAGCUGCAUUUGCAAUCUACGGCCAUUGAAGAAUUACCUAAAUCUAUUGGUUCAUUGAAGGAGCUCAAGACUCUAGAUGCCUCUUAUUGCACAUCGUUAGCCCGCAUACCCAACUCAAUAGGCAAGUCACUAUCUUUGUCUCGCCUUGACCUAACAGGAUGCCAUAAACUUGCUCAACUUCCAGACUUUAUAGGCUCCCUUGUAUCUCUACAACAGUUGUUAUUGUCGGGAUGCCACUUGUUGAGACAAAUCCCAAACUCGAUUGGAAAGUUGACAUCAUUGACAGAGCCGCAUUUGAAAUCUACGGCCAUUGAAGAAUUACCUGAAUCCAUUGGUUCUUUGAAGGAGCUCAAGACUCUAGAUGCCUCUUAUUGUGCAUCGUUAGCCCGCAUACCCAACUCAAUAGGCAAUUCAAUAUCUCUGUCUCACAUUGACCUAACAGGAUGUCAUAAACUUGCUCAACUUCCAGACUCUAUAGGCUCCCUCAUGUCUCUACAGUGGUUGUCAUUGUCAGGAUGCCACUCAUUGAGACAAAUCCCAUACUCGAUUGAAAAGUUGACAUCACUGACUGAGCUACAUUUGAAAUUUAAAGUUAUUGAAAGAUUACCUAAAUCCAUUAGUCUUUUUAAGGAGCUCAAGACUCUAGAUGGCUCUUAUCAUGCAUCGUUAGCCUAUAGACCCACUUCAAUAGGCAAUUCAACGUCUCCGUCUUGUCUUGUCCUAACAGAAUGUCAUAAGAUUGCUCAACUUCCAGACUUUAUAGGCUCCCUUGUAUCUCUACAACGGUUGUUAUUGUCAGGAUGCCACUCGUUGAGACAAAUCCCAGACUCGAUCGGAAAGUUGACAUCAUUAACUAAGCUGCAUUUGAAAUCUACGGCCAUUGAAGAAUUACCUGAAUCCAUUGGUUCUUUGAAGGAGCUCAAGACUCUAGAUGUCUCUUAUUGCAAAUUGUUAGCCUGCAUACCCAACUCAAUAGGCAAUUCAACAUCUCUGUCUCGCCUUGACCUAACGGAAUGCCAUAAACUUGCUCAACUUCCAGACUCUAUAGGCUCCCUCGUGUCUCUACAACAUUUGUUAUUGUCGGGAUGCCACUCGUUGAGACAAAUCCCAGACUCGAUCGGAAAGUUGACAUCAUUGACUGAGCUACAUUUGAAAUCUACGGCAAUUGAAGAAUUACCUGAAUCCAUUUGUUCUUUGAAGGAGCUCAGGACUCUAAAUGCUCAUUGCAAAUCGUUAGCCUGCAUACCCAAUUCAAUAGGCAAUUCAACAUCUCUGUCUCGCCUUGACCUAACAGGAUGCCAUAAACUUGCUCAACUUCCAGACUCUAUAGGCUCCCUCGUGUCUCUAAAAAUUUUGUUAUUGUUGGGAUGCCACUCAUUGAGACAAAUCCCAGACUCGAUCGGAAAGUUGACAUCAUUGAUUGUGCUAUAUUUGAAAUCUACGGCCAUUGAAGAAUUACCCGAAUCCAUUGGUUCUUUGAAGGAGCUCCAGAUUCUAGGUGCCUCUCAUUGCAAAUCAUUAGCCCGCAUACCCGAUUCAAUAGGCAAUUCAACAUCUCUUCUCGCCUUGAC